AACGAACGCUGGCGGCAGGCCUAACACAUGCAAGUCGAGCGCCCCGCAAGGGGAGCGGCGACGGGUGAGUAACGCGUGGGAACGUACCCUUUGCUACGGAAUAGCCUCGGGAAACUGGGAGUAAUACCGUAUGUGCCCUUCGGGGGAAAGAUUUAUCGGCAAAGGAUCGGCCCGCGUUGGAUUAGGUAGUUGGUGGGGUAAUGGCCUACCAAGCCGACGAUCCAUAGCUGGUUUGAGAGGAUGAUCAGCCACACUGGGACUGAGACACGGCCCAGACUCCUACGGGAGGCAGCAGUGGGGAAUCUUAGACAAUGGGCGCAAGCCUGAUCUAGCCAUGCCGCGUGAGCGAUGAAGGCCUUAGGGUUGUAAAGCUCUUUCAGUGGGGAAGAUAAUGACUGUACCCACAGAAGAAGCCCCGGCUAACCUCCGUG
rnacentral:rRNA from 1 species